rnacentral:rRNA from 1 species
GAUGAACGCUGGCGGCGUGCCUAAUACAUGCAAGUCGAGCGAACAGAUAAGGAGCUUGCUCCUUUGACGUUAGCGGCGGACGGGUGAGUAACACGUGGAUAACCUACCUCUAAGACUGGGAUAACUUCGGGAAACCGGAGCUAAUACCGGAUAAUAUAUUGAACCGCAUGAUUCAAUAGUGAAAGACGGCUUUGCUGUCACUUAUAGAUGGAUCCGCGCCGCAUUAGCUAGUUGGUAAGGUAACGGCUUACCAAGGCAACGAUGCGUAGCCGACCUGAGAGGGUGAUCGGCCACACUGGAACUGAGACACGGUCCAGACUCCUACGGGAGGCAGCAGUAGGGAAUCUUCCGCAAUGGGCGAAAGCCUGACGGAGCAACGCCGCGUGAGUGAUGAAGGUCUUCGGAUCGUAAAACUCUGUUAUUAGGGAAGAACAAAUGUGUAAGUAACUAUGCACGUCUUGACGGUACCUAAUCAGAAAGCCACGGCUAACUACGUG